GGAGUAGCAGCAGCAGUGUCUUUGGCCACAGGAGGAAGAGGUGGGUCCACAACGUCUGAGGCCUCGAGGGGCGGAAGAGGGGCUGCUGCUGGUGGCUGUACUUCAGGAGGAACCAAGGAAAGUAGAGAACCUGCUUGAGCUGUUCCUGGAUAUUCAGUUAUGAUCCCGUCGACUCCAACUCCAUCAACAAAAGUAGCAAUCUCCAUAAUAGGGUCUGAGAAAUAGUCAAAUGCCAGUGUGAUGUACUCGUUCCUAAGGACGUAGACAUACACCGAGACAUUGGCUUUCUGAAAUUCCGCAACAACAUUUGUCAUAGCCGUGGUGAAGAAAUCAUUAAUCUGAAUGAUGGAUGACCUUGUGAUGGCAACUGCAUCAGCAAACUUCUUGAUUUCCUCCACUGGCUGUUUUGGUGCAUCACCUAUCUUCUCUUCAAUCAACAGUACUCUUUUGUAGGUUGGGACAUUCAUAAACUUGGACAACACUGAAGUGUCAUCGGAUUGUAUCAAGACUUGCUGAGUGGAUUGCUUGUCGAAGGUGGCAUUGCUCAAGGCAGUGUUAACAGCACCGACAAUGUCAAGCCCCUUCUUUGAUGCUAGGUAGGCAGCAUUCUGAGAAGGAAAUAUGUUUGUCAAUGCACGAACUUUGGAGUUUAAACGUGAAGGAGGAGUUUCUUUGUAACGUCUGGAUUUGGAUUGGAAUGAAUUGAUAUUAUGAACAACGAUGUUUUAUAAAGACAAAUAUCGUUAUAGCAGAGUUGAAACGUACCUGAAUAUUGAUCAAAACUCCAGAAACUGCCUUUGCUUUAGCUAACUCCAGAAAUUCGGGAAGGGUAGUAAACUUACCAGCAUUCUUGUAUGCUGGGUUUCUCUGGAAGUCCUGGUACACACUCGUGAUUUGUGCUGCAAUGUGUAAGUUUUAGGUAUAAGUAGGAUUUAAAGCUUAUGAAACCUGCAUUUUUUGAAGUGUAUGGAGAAGUUUUGAAGAGGUUUACGCUUCAAGGUUUGAAUCUCGCUCCAUGUAAGAUCGAAUGAAAAGACUCCGGCCUUGGAUUGAAUUUCUGGUACAGUGAUAGACCUAGAAAUGAAAGUAGUCAUUGCAGUUGUAUCUCCGAUGAGGUCAGCUGUAUCCGAGCAGAAGGCCACUCCAUCUUUUGACAUCUGAACUGAGCAGUCUAUUAUGUCUGCACCAUCAUUUACUGCUUGCUGAUAAGCAAGAUCAGUGCAGCCAGGAUAAAUCCCACUUGCUCCAUUUUUGGUGAUAAUUAAAGCUUUCCCUGAAAACGCACAAAAUUGUUGUUGACAACUAAAGCUUUUCCUUCAUUUCUUGAACAUAUCUUGAACCUUUAAAGUUCUCAUAUCAGCACUCUUGAAAAGAUCUAAUAUACAUACCUUUGACGGGCUUGCUGACGUUCUUGUUAUUUGCAAAGCAUCCUGCACCAAGAAAGAGCAACGCAGGGUCAGACCAUAACUCAGAGAACCAUUCAAGUACCAAGUUAUGUACUUGCUCUUUAGAUUCCCAUCAGUGUAUUUUCAUUUUUAAUUGGGGUUGCAAGACACAUUACAUGAAAUCUCAAGGGAAAUAUCGAGAAGGCAUGACAGUCAGGUGAUCUCACCAAUGGCUUCUGAUGCUGUAGGAGAGAAGUCUGUAAGCACCCCAUCAACAGAGAACUCGGAAUUAUCAACAAACUGAAGGUAUUCGUUUGUAGGAUCAUAACUAUAAUUAUAGCUUCCAAGAAGAUCAUUUGCAAAACCAGAAGCAUAUACUUCUAGUCCUUGUUUGUGAGCAUCAGCUACUAGGCUAGUAGGAGCUUCCCCCAAAUAUUUGUUUGCCUGUACUGGCCAUAUGUAUUCUUUGGGGACAAGGAUUCCAGAUGCAAAUGACUUGAUUGAUGCAAGAUCCUGCAGCAGGGAACCGUAGUUUUUAUUGGUUGUGGGUUCAAUCUCAUCCGCAGUGAGGACCUGGAGGAUGAGCUUUGUCUUGGCUUUGUUCACUUUCCCAUUCAUGCUCUUCAAGAAACCGAUCUCAGGAGAUGAAAGAUUGCAGAACAAAGCUGUAUCUUGCAGACUCAAAGACUGUGCCAUUUGAUUCGCAAAUGAGCUCGACUCAGGAAACAGCCCCGAGAACCCGCCUCGGGCUAUUACAAGUGGC